rnacentral:rRNA from 2 species
UGCUGGAGGUAUCAGAAGUGCGAAUGCUGACAUAAGUAACGAUAAAGCGGGUGAAAAGCCCGCUCGCCGGAAGACCAAGGGUUCCUGUCCAACGUUAAUCGGGGCAGGGUGAGUCGACCCCUAAGGCGAGGCCGAAAGGCGUAGUCGAUGGGAAACGGGUUAAUAUUCCCGUACUUGGUGUUACUGCGAAGGGGGGACGGAGAAGGCUAUGUUGGCCGGGCGACGGUUGUCCCGGUUUAAGCGUGUAGGUGUGUGUUCCAGGUAAAUCCGGUUCACUUUAACACUGAGGCGUGACGACGAGGCACUACGGUGCUGAAGCAACAAAUGCCCUGCUUCCAGGAAAAGCCUCUAAGCAUCAGGUAACACGAAAUCGUACCCCAAACCGACACAGGUGGUCAGGUAGAGAAUACCAAGGCGCUUGAGAGAACUCGGGUGAAGGAACUAGGCAAAAUGGUGCCGUAACUUCGGGAGAAGGCACGCUGACACGUAGGUGAAGUGAUUUACUCAUGGAGCUGAAGUCAGUCGAAGAUACCAGCUGGCUGCAACUGUUUAUUAAAAACACAGCACUGUGCAAACACGAAAGUGGACGUAUACGGUGUGACGCCUGCCCGGUGCCGGAAGGUUAAUUGAUGGGGUCAGCGUAAGCGAAGCUCCUGAUCGAAGCCCCGGUAAACGGCGGCCGUAACUAUAACGGUCCUAAGGUAGCGAAAUUCCUUGUCGGGUAAGUUCCGACCUGCACGAAUGGCGUAAUGAUGGCCAGGCUGUCUCCACCCGAGACUCAGUGAAAUUGAACUCGCUGUGAAGAUGCAGUGUACCCGCGGCAAGACGGAAAGACCCCGUGAACCUUUACUAUAGCUUGACACUGAACAUUGAGCCUUGAUGUGUAGGAUAGGUGGGAGGCUUUGAAGUGUGGACGCCAGUCUGCAUGGAGCCGACCUUGAAAUACCACCCUUUAAUGUUUGAUGUUCUAACGUGGACCCGUAAUCCGGGUUGCGGACAGUGUCUGGUGGGUAGUUUGACUGGGGCGGUCUCCUCCUAAAGAGUAACGGAGGAGCACGAAGGUUGGCUAAUCCUGGUCGGACAUCAGGAGGUUAGUGCAAUGGCAUAAGCCAGCUUGACUGCGAGCGUGACGGCGCGAGCAGGUGCGAAAGCAGGUCAUAGUGAUCCGGUGGUUCUGAAUGGAAGGGCCAUCGCUCAACGGAUAAAAGGUACUCCGGGGAUAACAGGCUGAUACCGCCCAAGAGUUCAUAUCGACGGCGGUGUUUGGCACCUCGAUGUCGGCUCAUCACAUCCUGGGGCUGAAGUAGGUCCCAAGGGUAUGGCUGUUCGCCAUUUAAAGUGGUACGCGAGCUGGGUUUAGAACGUCGUGAGACAGUUCGGUCCCUAUCUGCCGUGGGCGCUGGAGAACUGAGGGGGGCUGCUCCUAGUACGAGAGGACCGGAGUGGACGCAUCACUGGUGUUCGGGUUGUCAUGCCAAUGGCACUGCCCGGUAGCUAAAUGCGGAAGAGAUAAGUGCUGAAAGCAUCUAAGCACGAAACUUGCCCCGAGAUGAGUUCUCCCUGAGAC